AUUGAACGCUGGCGGCAUGCUUUACACAUGCAAGUCGAACGGCAGCGCGGGCGGGGGUAACCUCGCCUGGCGGCGAGUGGCGAACGGGUGAGUAAUAUAUCGGAACGUACCCAAGAGUGGGGGAUAACGUAGCGAAAGUUACGCUAAUACCGCAUACGAUCUAGGGAUGAAAGGGGGGGAUCGCAAGACCUCAUGCUCCUGGAGCGGCCGAUAUCUGAUUAGCUAGUUGGUGAGGUAAAGGCUCACCAAGGCGACGAUCAGUAGCUGGUCUGAGAGGACGACCAGCCACACUGGGACUGAGACACGGCCCAGACUGCGACGGGAGGCAGCAGUGGGGAAUUUUGGACAAUGGGCGCAAGCCUGAUCCAGCAAUGCCGCGUGAGUGAAGAAGGCCUUCGGGUUGUAAAGCUCUUUUGUCAGGGAAGAAACGGCUGAGGAUAAUACCUUCGGCUAAUGACGGUACCUGAAGAAUAAGCACCGGCUAACUACGUGCCAGCCGCCGCAGUAAUAC
rnacentral:rRNA from 1 species